GACGAACGCUGGCGGCGUGCCUAAUACAUGCAAGUUGAGCGAUGAAGAUUGGUGCUUGCCCCAAUUUGAAGAGCAGCGAACGGGUGAGUAACGCGUAGGGAAUCUGCCUUUGAGCGGGGGACAACAUUUGGAAACGAAUGCUAAUACCGCAUAAUAACUUUAAACAUAAGUUUUAAGUUUGAAAGAUGCAAUUGCAUCACUCAAAGAUGAUCCCGCGUUGUAUUAGCUAGUUGGUGAGGUAAAGGCGCACCAAGGCGAUGAUACAUAGCCGACCUGAGAGGGUGAUCGGCCACAUUGGGACUGAGACACGGCCCAAACUCCUACGGGAGGCAGCAGUAGGGAAUCUUCGGCAAUGGACGAAAGUCUGACCGAGCAACGCCGCGUGAGUGAAGAAGGUUUUCGGAUCGUAAAACUCUGUUGGUAGAGAAGAACGUUGGUGAGAGUGGAAAGCUCAUCAAGUGACGGUAACUACCCAGAAAGGGACGGCUAACUACGUG
rnacentral:rRNA from 1 species